AUACGUUUCCUGGUUUUCCUCUGCCAGCUUGGAUAGGUUGAAUGAUAGGAGGUUUCUUUGGAUAUAUAGCCUUUUUGACAUGUUUAAGAGUAAGAAACUAGUGAUAAAUAUUUGAGAAAAUUAAGACUUUAUUUUUUAGAUUUAAAGGAACACUAUAGGGUCAGUAACACAAACAUGUAUUUCUGACCCUAUAGUGUUAAAACCACCAUCUGCCCCCUCCCCCUAAAUAUAGUAAAAUUGUCCUUUUAUUCAAGUCUGAAGCUGCUGCCUCUGCCCCUGAUCUGCCUGCUUGGCUGACCUAAUCAGAAGUGAUUCUCUGAGCCAAUCACAAUGCUUUCACAUAGGAUUGGCUGAGACUGUCAAGGAAGCAUAUCAAGGGCACAGCCAUG